CAACGCCGCGUGAGUGAUGAAGGAUUUCGGUCUGUAAAGCUCUGUUGUUUAUGACGAACGUGCAGUGUGUGAACAAUGCAUUGCAAUGACGGUAGUAAACGAGGAAGCCACGGCUAACUACGUGCCAGCAGCCGCGGUAAUACGUAGGUGGCGAGCGUUGUCCGGAAUUAUUGGGCGUAAAGAGCAUGUAGGCGGCUUAAUAAGUCGAGCGUGAAAAUGCGGGGCUCAACCCCGUAUGGCGCUGGAAACUGUUAGGCUUGAGUGCAGGAGAGGAAAGGGGAAUUCCCAGUGUAGCGGUGAAAUGCGUAGAUAUUGGGAGGAACACCAGUGGCGAAGGCGCCUUUCUGGACUGUGUCUGACGCUGAGAUGCGAAAGCCAGGGUAGCGAACGGGAUUAGAUACCCCGGUAGUCCUGGCCGUAAACGAUGGGUACAAGGUGUAGGAGGUAUCGACCCCUUCUGUGCCGGAG
rnacentral:rRNA from 1 species